CAAAAUCCAAAACAUCUUACUUUAGUAACUGCUUAUAAGAAUCAUGAUGUGAGGCUUCGAAGCCGGUUUCAGGUACCAACCAAACAAACAUCACAGUUUUCAGACCAAAUUUCAGAGUAAGUGGUCAGUGAGUUUAAUCAUUUAUUUUGUGGGCAGUGGUCAGUGAUUUUGCAUGUGAAUGACCAAUGAUCUACAGAAAUCAUGUCCAGGUAUGCAGCCCUGAAUAAACAUAUGUAUUAACUAUGCGUAUAACACCAUCCGUUUACAUUAAAAACUAUUAUCUUUGGCUUUAGGACUUCUAGUUAAAAUUUUCACAGGAGCACAGAUCAAGAUAUGCAUACCUAAAACAAAGACAUGUUCCCGGUAAUACGCCCACCUCAAUUUUAUAACUACAGAAUGAUCAUAGUUAAUAGCUGAAACCCACCGAAAAUAGGAUAGAAGUCAAGUGGACCAGUUAAAACAAUGAAUGGAUAUGUUCAUUUUUUAGUAAUAACAAAAUAUAUUGUUAUAUACUUAAAAGGGGUUAGAAUUAUUAGUCAAAGGACAAAAAUCACCAGUCAAUAAUUUAGUAGCAUAGCAAAAAUUCUUACAUGUGGGAAUUAGUAACCAGUAGAGUGGGAACAUAUACAUUCUGUUAACCUUAAUUAAGCUCACGUCGCCUAGACUAGCCAUCUUGCCGUUUAAAUAAUGUGUGCAUGCGGGAUGAUGUGACCCGGACAUGCACGUAGCUAGGCUGUGGAUCAAGUGCUGUUGCACAUGCACUGACCACGUUUUCCCUUCCCUGUUUUUCCUCCUGAUGAGCGCACGCGCUGUGAGACGAGGUCGUGGGAUGGCGCGGCCGUCACGGAUCAUGGCGCGGCCGUCGCGGAUCAUGGCGCGCUCGCCAGGAGGUAGUUAGCUGCUCUUCCUCUCAGUCGUUGUAAGAUGAUAAGAGGAGAUAGGAAAUAACAAAAAGAGAGCUGCGAAGUUACAGCGAAAAACUCUCGCACACCCUCUCUCACUCGUUCCUCGCUUCCCCUCGUUCGAUCCGCAACGACAAUUGGCAUCAGAGCCACGUGGUGUUCGAUCACUCUCCGGUAGCCGGCGGUGUUUGACCCGUGGCAACCAUGUCGGACAACGAGUUGAAGAAGAAGAGCGGGGAGAAGGGCACGGCGCCGCUCGCGCGCCUCACCGGCGGCGGCGGCGGCGAGAUGCGUGUCAUCGAAAGGGUGGUGUGGGAGAGCGAGACCUCGUCCUCGACAAUGGUCCUCACCCAUACCAACUAUAUGGAAUGGGCCCUCCUGAUGCAGGUCAAACUGCAAGUCGCGGGUGUAUGGUCCGCGGUGACCGACGGCGUCGCCGAGGAGCAUAAUGACCGGCGUGCACUCCAGAUCAUCCGCAUGGGGGUGCCACCAGAGAUGCUCCGGGUGUUGGCCGCCAAGGACACGGCGAAGACGGCCUGGGAGACGAUCAAGACGCUCCGCAUGGGGAGCGAGAGGGCUCGCGAGGCCAAGGCGUAGGUGCGCCGCCGCGAGUUCGAGGAGCUCCACUUCAAGGACGGUGAAACCAUCGAAGACUUCGGGUUGCGUCUCACCGGACUCGUGCCGAUCUGGAGCUGUACGGCGACCCCAUCACCGAGCACAAGGCCGUCCAGAAGUUCCUUCGAGUGGUGUCGCGGAGGUACCGUCCGAAUCCCUGAUUGACCUGAAGACCAUGUCCAUCGAGGAGCUCGUCGGCCGUUUCUCUGUGUGCGAGGACCACUACGAUCUCGAUGACGGGGCGCAAUCUGCCAGGCGCCUUCUCCUCACACGUGAGGAGUGGGUAGCCCGUGAGAAGCUGGGCGGCGCCAGCGGUUCGUCGUCCGGUGGGGGCGGAGGCGGCAAGAACAGAUCCCCUGCCAAGGCCAAGUCACAGGGCGGCGGAAAGGGCGCCGGGGAACGCGGGCGCAGGUGGCUCCGGCGGCUCGGACGGCAAGAGAAAAAAGGGGAAGUGCCACCACUGUGGGAUCCCAGGGCACUGGAAAAAGGAGUGCCGCACUUGGCUCCGUGAGCAGGAGCAGAAAGGGCAACAAGAGCAAGCCAACCUUGCCAAGGCUGGGGAUGAACACGACCAGGGCCUCUACAUGGCCAUGGUCACACGGGUCACGGCGUCCCAGAUCGUGGCGUCGCAAGAGGUGUAUCUCAACGAGGAGAGGGUCAUGCCCGAGCCCACUACGGACAGCGUGUGGUGCUUUGACACCGGCGCCACCAGCCACAUGACGGGUGACAGGCGCGUGUUCUCGUCUUUUGUUGAGUCCGUGCAGGGCACGGUGAGAUUUGGUGACGGAUCCGUCGUGGCAAUUCGCGGGCACGGCUCUAUGGUAUUUCGCUGCCAGAGCGGAGACCAGCGCACGCUCACCGCAGUGUUCUUCAUUCCCAGUUUACGCACCAAUAUCGUCUCGGUGGGACCAGCUCGAUGAGGCGGGCUGCACCGUCAGUGUAGAGGGCGGGGUCAUGGCGAUCCGCGACCCUUCACUGCGGAUCCUGGCGUGCAUCAAGCGCUCGGGAAUUAGGCUGUACUCCGACGCCCUCACCGUGGACUCUCCGGUCUGUCUGAUGGCGAAAGGCGAUGGCAUGCCCGCAUGGGCCACCUCCACUUCCGCGCGCUCCGGGCCAUGUCGACCAAGCGGCUGGUACGCGGGAUGCCUGUCAUCGACCGCGUCAAAGAGUGUUGUGACGGGUGCGCUCUGGGGAAGCAGCACCGCACACCGUUCCUGCAGGCCGCCAUGCACCGUGCAGAGCGCGGACUGGAACUCGUGCACACGGACCGCAAGGUCCAAUCGAGCCCAACACGGACCGCAAGGUCCAAUCAAGCCCACGACGCCAGGAGGUAACAGAUAUUUCCUGUUGGUAGUUGAUGACUUCAGUCGAUACAUGUGGCUGGAACUUCUGAAAUCCAAGGACGGGGCCAUCGGAAAUGAUUGCACAACAAUACUACCUCAGAAUAGAAAUUUGAUGCAGCUAACUGAUUCUUCUGCUCAGCAGAUAUUGCAUUUCUUGAUUCGAGUGGAGCUUUGCUGGCAUCGUCAUUUUCCUUAACCAAAAUAAUUAAACGGAACUUAUGUUAUGCUAAAAAUACAGAUGCUGCAAAACUGUACUAAGGCAGAAUAACCAGUCUUAUUUCACCUAGUAAUAAAAAUAGUUGACGACAUAUUAACAGUACAGAACUAAGAUGGCAUUCUAACACAAGGAUACAGCAGAUUAAGGUCUACAGGUUCCAUCACAUUGCAAGGUUAAUAUACUAGAAAGCAUUCAGACAAGAAAGUAAGAAGCAUAUUCCACGAAAUCAGUUAGUUCUACAGUAAUCAUGAAUGUCUGCAGUACCAUCUGACCUUGGAUUUUGAUCCCGGCAUUUCAAGGGUUUCCACUUUGAAAAUAACCGAAGACUAAAAGGAGUCAAACCUGAUGAUGCACAUGAGGCCUCCCCAAGCUUCUGAUUCCUUUUCCGCCAGAAACCUUUUCGACAAUAGACGGGUUAAGAUCCAUAUAUAGCUUGCUAAACUUAGAAGUAAUUGUACAGAUUAAACAUCAUGAUCAGGAUUUUAGAAUACAAAACAGGGGACUAAGAGAUGGGAGUUUUUGAAGAAUCUAGUAGCAGUAUCACACAACUGAUGCUGCAAAAUCCAAAACAUCUUACUUUAACAACUGCUUACAAGAAUCAUGUUGUGAGGCUUCCAAGCCGGUUUCAGGUACCAACCAGACAAACAAACAUCACAGCUUUUAGAUCAAGUUUCAGAGUAAGUGGUCAGUGAGUUUAAUUAUUAAUUUUGUGGGCGGUGGUCAGUGAUUUUUGCAUGUGAAUGACCAAUGAUCUAUGGAAAUCAUGUCCAGGUGCAACCCUGAAUAAGCAUAUGCAUUAACUAUAUUAUAACCCAUUCACAUUAAGACCUAUUGCCUUGUCUUCAGGACUUCUAGCUAAAACUUCACAAGAGCUGCUAUAUGUAAGAUCAAAAUUAGUACGCUUUUUGUAAGACCAGACUGAUCUGGUGCUGUGGGCCCAAACCUCGGGAAACGGGCCUUUCUCUUGUUGUAUGAAAAUCGUACGUCAUAAGCAAGGCAGUUCCAGAAUUUCACAGGCGCACUGAUCAAGAUAUGCAUGCCUAAAACAGAAACAUGUUCCCAAUGUUUCCCCCGAUGUCCACUGCAAUGAAUAUGCUACCACAGUUGAUAGAAGAAUGAAUUGAUACAGGCACAGCACCCAAAUCUUAAACAUAUUCGAGUUUUUGACUAAUCACAGAGAGGUUGUUCACUUGCCACCAUAUUCGAGUUUUUGACUAGUGGGAAGAAGAAAUCGUGCUACUAAUCUGGACAUGGGCAUAAUAUAAAGCCAGAUUGGCCCCAACAUUCGCCCAAAAGUUUCAUUCCCUUUUAACCUAAAUCGUUACCAACAUUAGACGAACUCCAAGAACACAAAUUUCACAUCCCGAACACAAAUAUCGACACAAGAAUCCACAAAGAAGAGCAAAGAAUAAGAGAGUAAUCAAGAAACACCAGAUUCAGGAUAUACCUUCUUGUUGUUCUUGCGGAAGCUGAUAAAUUUGCUCAAGGACGUCUUCCUUGCCUGCGGUAAUCCAGCCUAUUCCAAAGAAACCAAGAAACGCUAAGUCGAACUCGGAUAACUCGAAAGAAAACAUUGCAGGUUGCGACAUCUCAAGCGCAAGAGACGCGCCAUCACCUGCUCCCGGGCGUGCGCAGCAACGAAGCUCGAUCCCCCGGCUUCGAAGAUUUGGCCCCCGGCCUGGCCAUCGACGGGCGGAGCAGAGGGAGGUGGUGGCAAGGAGACACCGGAGACGCCAUUCCUCGCCGCGGAGCUCGAUUCCCCGGCUUUGCGGCUUCCGCCCCCGGCCUGGCCAUCGACGGGCGGAACAGGAGGAGGUGGUGGCGAGGAGACACCGGAGACGCCAUCCCUCGCCGCGGAGCUCGAUUCCCCAGCUUUGCGGCUUCUUCCCC
rnacentral:lncRNA from 1 species